GCGUGAUAAUUCGCCCUUUAAUUGUGGGCUUGUACGAAUGGGUUAACGAGGGUUUAGCUGUCUCCCUUUUAAUACUGGAAAUUAAUCUUUAGGUGAAAAGGCCUGAAUAAAGUCGCAGGACAAAAAGACCCCAUAGAGCUUUGUUUUAUUAAUGUUUAAUAAAAAACCUUAAAAGUAUUUUUUAUUUAAUUUUAUAAAACUUAACUGGGGCGGUUGAGGAAGUAUCUACUCUUCUUUUUUUCUCUUCGUUUAUAAAACUUAUUCUCUUGAUCCUAGUAAAUAGAUGAAAGAAAAGCUACCUUGGGGGUAACAGACUAA
rnacentral:rRNA from 1 species